rnacentral:rRNA from 1 species
AUGGCACCGGAGAUGCUCCUCGGCAAGACCGACUACGACACCACGGUUGACAUGUGGUCCCUCGGCUGCGUCAUGGCCGAGCUCCUGUCCGGGAAGCCACUCUUCGACGGGGACGACGACGCCCAGCAGCUCCUCGCCAUCUUCCGCGUUCUCGGCGUACCAUUGUUCACGAUCUGGCCAGCCUACGAGUCAUUGCCGCUCGCCGGGAAGCUGGUGACGCCGCCGCAUGCCAUUUCCCGCAACAAGCUCCGUCUGCACUUCCCAGAGGACUGCCUCUCCAAAGAAGGCUUCGAAAUCCUCAAGGGGCUCCUCUCGUGCAACAUCGACAAGAGGUUGUCGGCCACCACCGCGCUCAGGCGACCAUGGUUCGCCAAUGCCGUCGUCGAUGCUUCAGCCUGA